UCUAAGGCGGGUUUCCGCUGAGAACGGAAUAGUGUUCGUGUCCAAAGGUGAACAAAGCCCUAGCUUCUAGAGUUCGCUGCUUUUCCCAGGCCGGCCGGAGAAGGGCUUAUACUGCUCGCCUUUGUUUGAUAUGUUCAUUCAGUACCAAUACAAACGAAAACUACACCAAAGUGGAAGGGCCAGUAUAGAAGCUAGAAGUAGCUAGCCUAUAGUAGUCGGCCUAACCAAAGCCUCACGACAACAUAAAAUUAGCCUUAUGAAUUGAAUCUUAAGUAGGGGGCUUAGCCCGCCCGCCUAUCAAUCAAAGAGGCUGAGAGUAAGCGUAAGCUCACCCGGAAGCUCGAAGAGCUUCCCUUCAUUCGCUUCGCGGGAGCCGCACAGCACAUAGCUGGAAGUCAGAGGGCCCAUACUACCUGCCUAACCCUUCGCUCCGAGGGACCGUAGAUCGGAAAGCGCCUUCUAAACCACCCCAUUCAUCCUUAUUUUUUGCGCAAGCCGUACAUAUUGCGUUAACAAUAAUGGGGGUAGGUGGUUUUGGUUAGUUAAAUAUAAGUUGUAGUUUGAGUCCUCUCGAGGACGGGCCCCCUUUUUUUGGGAAAGGAUAGUGGGUAGGGCUUAUCUUUCCCCCAGACUACUUUACUCACUGGAAAUCAUUCCACGUACAGGAACUGGGGAAAAAAAAAGGGCUCGAACUACAGGGAUCUGAUACCUGGCUUUCUUGGUAUGAGAAGUUGGUUAUGUAGGCUGACAACCUUUCCUAGGUUGUUUCAAUCAGGCCAAAUAAUCGAUUAGUAGUAUGCCUGAGAUUGCCAUAAGAACUUCCCCCUCUUGAAAACUGACUAAUCAAACAAAGGGGGUCACUUUUUUUUAUGAGGGUAGGGAGUUUGGGUUGGUGUGAGGUGUACCGCACUUUGGGUACAAGAUCGGAAAUUCCAUUCUCUUUUUUACCAUCUAAAAUCGAAGAAAAGAAAGAAGGGCGAGAUAAACAAAUAAAGAGCUAACUUUCUUUAUUAUUAUGUAAGAUUAGAAGGUGCAAAAUGAAUCGGCGCAGGAGCUGCUACAAUUGCUUCAGCGGGAGCUGCUGCCGGUAUUGGAAAUGUUUUCAGUUCCUUAAUUCUGUUGCGAGAAAUCAUUCAUUGGCAAAACAAUUAUUUGGUUAUGCUAUUUUGGGAUUUGCUUUAACCGAAGCUAUUGCCUUGUUUUCCUUAAUGAUGGCCUUCUUAAUCCUCC
rnacentral:lncRNA from 1 species